GGGGCGGAAGAGAACCUAACGGCGAUUGGGGGAGGUGCUGGAAAAGGGGUUGGGGGUAGUUUGAGUCGGAUGAGGAAGGCGGGAAUCUAAUCCUCUUCCAAUCAGCUCCCCAUCCCGCCCUUUGGCGGCUUCAUACCGCAACCUGACUUAGUAUGACUGCAGGCAUGCUCCUAGGCGGACACUGACUGUCUCCACGAGGGGACUGGGAGGCGGGGGUUCCAAAUGGGGGAGGAGGGAGCCGAAGGCACCGUGCACCUGCUGUGCCUCGCAGCAUCCAGCGGGGUCCCCCUGUUUUGCAGGAGCAGCCGCGGCGGCGCCCACGCCCGCCAACAGCUCCCGUUCUCUGUCAUCGGCUCCCUCAAUGGAGUCCACAUGUUUGGGCAGAAUCUCGAGGUGCAACUGAGCUCUGCGAGGACGGAGGAUACAAUCGUGGUGUGGAAAAGCUUCCAUGACAGCAUCACCCUUAUUGUUCUGUCAUCUGAGGAGGGGACCUCGGAGCUGAGGCUGGAGAGACUACUCCAGAUGGUGUUUGGGGCUAUGGUUCUUCUUGUGGGACUUGAAGAACUGACCAAUAUCUGCAACGUAGAGAGACUGAAGAAGGAGCUGAGGGCCAGUUACCGCCUCAUUGACAGCUUCCUGGGGGACUCAGAGCUUAUUGGGGACCUGACCCAGUGUGUGGACUGUGUGGUUCCUCCAGAGGGGUCCCUGCUGCAGGAAGCGGUCUCUGGGUUUGCCGAAGCCGCGGGCACCGCCUUCGUCAGCCUGGUCGUGUCGGGCCGGGUGGUGACAGCAACUGAGAGCUGGUGGCGGCUGGGGAUGCCGGAGGCAGUGCUGCUCCCUUGGCUGGUGGGGUCUCUGCCGCCGCAGGCCGCUCGCGACUACCCGGUGUACCUGCCGCACGGGAGCCCCACGGUUCCUCACCGGCUUCUGACUCUGACACUCCUGCCGGACUUAGAGCUGUGUCUGCUCUGUGGGCCGCGCCCUCCCCUCAGCCAGCUGGAUGCACAGCUUUUGGAGCGCUGGUGGCAGCCACUGCUGGACCUGCUGCGGACCUGCCUGCCGCUGGGACCCCGAGCGCUGCCCGCGGGCUUCCCCCUGCACACGGAUAUCCUCGGACUGCUGCUCCUCCACCUGGAACUGAAACGUUGCCUCUUCACCGUGGAGCCGUCGAGGGAUAAAGAACCCUCUCCUGAGCAUCGUCGGCGUCUCCUCCGCUCCUUUUAUACCCUGGUCACUGCCACGCACUUCCCACCAGGUCAGCGGCGGGCACAGUGCCCCCUUUGCAUAGGCUGGGACACAGAGUCCCGGCUCACACAAGGUGUGAGUAAGAAGUGGGCUUGGGGAAACUGGUAGAAGACUCCAAACCAGAAUCAUGAAAUGGGCAUGGCUGUCCGUGAGGACGGCAUGUAAACUGACAGGAAAGGCAGGUAAGGGAGUUCCAAGCCUGUAGGUUUCAGAAUUUCCUGGGUAAUCCUAAUAGUUAAUGCAGACCUCAUCUCUUACCAAGUGCUUCUCUGUUUAUUUACUCACUUCAUCUUCAUAGGCGAGGGUUACCUCCUGUUAAUUAUCAUGCCUAUAUUACAGACGAGGAAAAAGGCUCAGCAAAUACGUAGCAGAGCCACAAUUCAAACACAGGCCGCCUGGCAACCACACCCACACCCUCCAGCUCUACCGCUGAAAAUACUGGCUUUGCCCAUAGUUGGGUGGAGGAGGGGUGGUAGAUUCCAUAGACCCCAGGUCCGAAGAAAAAGUUGUCAUACAGAACCUGUGAGGCCCAAAGCAACAAGGGAAGGGAUCUAGAUUGAUGCUACAACCUCAGCAAAGAUCAUGAUGAAUGUAACAAAAUGGUAAAAAAGGUCCACCUGGGAGGGGCAGACAACUGUCCCUUCCUAGCUGGGUAACUCCACCUCCCCCCACCUGGUGGGGCAGGGUCCUCAAGAGGAGCUCUUCCCUGGAGCCCAGUGCCUGGCACCAGAGCCUGGGCAGCCAGAGAAGGUGGAAGCGGCGGCCCACCGGGCCCAGGUGCCAAGAGCCUGCUACCUGGUGUCAGGGGCUGAGGAGCCAGGCACAGGAUGGCGGCUGGUGGCCCUGCAGUUGGGGC